CAUUAUGAAGCUAAACGUAGCAUUAACCUUUUAAGUUAAAGACUAGGAACCUAGACUUCCUCAUAAUGA
rnacentral:tRNA from 1 species